ACAUUGUGCUUGUCCCAUCCGGUGCUCCGUAGUUAGCCUCUGUGAGCUCCACGUAGGCCGCGCAAGCGCCCUUGGCGGACAGUUCACCUGCUGCCGUUGUCGUCGCCGCCGCGGCUCCCGGGGCUGGAUGGGGGGCCGAAGCCAGCCAGUGGCACCCGGAAGAAAGAGACGCGGCGGCGGCGACGCCGACACCCUCAGGACGAGUGUCCGGACUUGCACACAGGCUCAAGGAGGAGACGGCGAGGCCCGGCCCCCGCUGUCCCUGGUGUAGAGAAGUCGCCGUAGCCGUCGCGGCCGGGACUCCCCGGGCUCUCGCCCCUCAGGUUUCGUUGACACUCAGGACGCUACGUACGCUGCGCCAUGUUCAAGAAACUGAAGCAAAAGAUCAGCGAGGAGCAGCAGCAGCUCCAGCAGGCGCUGGCCCCUGCUCAGAUGAAGGAGUGAGGCUCGAAGAGGUGAAGUAACUUGCCUAAUGUUACGCAGCUAGUGUUAGAGUCUUCAGAAAAGUAUUAACGCAGAAAGAUAUUCGUGUUAAAAGACAGAAGCAGCAGGUGUUGGAGUUCUUAGUUGUAAGCAACAAAAAGUCAAUCUAGGUAAGCAGAAAAAGAAUUUAUUGAAGACUCUUUACGCUACAGAAUUUCCCUGAGGUCCCAAAAGUCUGAGCUGAUUGCUACGUCCAGUUAUACUGGGGAGACUACUCUGUGUUGCAGCUGCUUCAGCUUGGCACCAGCAUUGCAUCUGUCACUUCACAGCUUAUAUUUGCGUGGGUGCAUGAAGUUCUGUCUCCAUUGUCAUCAGAUGAUGAACUUUAUUUGUAUGUCUGUUUUUUCACAUCACUCACUUAUGACUCGAAGUCUCGUGUUUCAUUGAUGGAGCUCAGGUUACCCUGUCUCAGAUAAAAAGAAGAUUGGGUUAGUAAGUUUUCUGAGUUCUAACUUACGGACUUAUAAGAGCUGUUUAUAGAAAAAAGGUUAUUAAACUUUUGUCAUAUUUGUAGAUGCUUUUCCUCACCUCCCAAUUAAACUGCUGCUUUGAUUUGUUUUUCACAUAAAAAUCUCUUUCCCAUUCAGAGAUUGUAGAAAUAGACUCUUGAAUUUUUUGUAUUUCAAUAAAAAAAAUUAAAUCUUUAAUAUAGCUUAAGUAUGAAGGAUCUGAUUUCUGUGUCUUGCCCCAUAUGGAUGGCCAGUUGUCCCAACAUUUAUUGAAUGUCUAUCCUGAUGCAAAAUGUUACUUUUAUCAUAAGCUAGAUAUGUAUAUGUCUGUCUGGAUGUAUAUAUGUGUAUAUAGAGUAUGUGUAUAUUUGUAUACUAUUCCUCACGACCUCUCAGUUCCACCCUAACCACAGCAGUUUGUGCACAGAUACCACAGACCAGAGUUCCAUUUGUUUAUUCAUUCAUUCAUUUAUUUGACAAAUAUUUAUUAACUGCCUUUUGUAAAGUGCAGACUACAAAAAGAGGCUUCCUCCAAUUCUUCAACACCAACAAGAACGAGGAGCAGGACAUCUUCAUUUACAGAGCAACUUGAUGAAGAGAAUCCCUGAAUCGACUUGACCUGGACAGUUCUACUGCCAGUUUUGAUCCACCCUCUGAUAUGGAUAGCGAGGCUGAAGACUUGGUAGGAAAUUCAGACAGUCUCAACAAAGAACAGUUGAUUCAGCGGUUGCGAAGAAUGGAACGAAGCUUAAGUAGCUACAGAGGAAAAUAUUCUGAGCUUGUUACAGCUUAUCAGAUGCUUCAGAGAGAGAAGAAAAAGCUACAAGCAUUUUGGUAUAUUUAGUUCUAGCCUCUUUCCUGUGAAGAAACUGAGGGAGAGUGACUCGUUCAUUGUUGCACAGCUUGUUAAGAGGGUAUAUUAAGUCAGAGUCAGGAUAAAUCACUUCGGAGAAUAGCAGAAUUAAGAGAGGAGCUCCAAAUGGACCAGCAGGCAAAGAAACAUCUGCAAGAGGAGUUUGAUGCAUCUUUAGAGGAGAAAGAUCAGUAUAUCAGUGUUCUCCAAACUCAGGUUUCUCUGCUGAAACAACGAUUACGAAAUGGCCCGAUGAAUGUUGAUGUACUGAAACCACUUCCUCAGCUGGAACCACAGGCUGAAGUCUUCACUAAAGAAGAGAAUCCAGAAAGUGAUGUAGAGCCAGUAGUGGAAGAUGGAACUUCUGUUAAAACACUGGAAACACUCCAGCAAAGAGUGAAGCGUCAAGAGAACCUACUUAAGCGUUGUAAGGAAACAAUUCAGUCACAUAAGGAACAAUGUACACUAUUAACUAGUGAAAAAGAAGCUCUGCAAGAACAACUGGAUGAAAGACUUCAAGAACUAGAAAAGAUAAAGGACCUUCAUAUGGCCGAGAAGACUAAACUUAUCACUCAGUUGCGUGAUGCAAAGAACUUAAUUGAACAGCUUGAACAAGAUAAGGGAAUGGUAAUCGCAGAGACAAAACGUCAGAUGCAUGAAACCCUGGAAAUGAAAGAAGAAGAAAUUGCUCAACUCCGUAGUCGCAUCAAACAGAUGACUACCCAGGGAGAGGAAUUACGGGAACAGAAAGAAAAGUCCGAAAGAGCUGCUGCCAUAGGUUGAAGUUCCCACAUUUCUUAUACCACUGGAAGUGAAAAUAUUAUAUAUGUCGGUGAACAACUGUCUCCCUGGGACAUACGUUUCUUGCUUUUGAGGAACUUGAAAAAGCUUUGAGUACAGCCCAAAAAACAGAGGAAGCACGGAGAAAACUGAAGGCAGAAAUGGAUGAACAAAUAAAAACUAUUGAAAAAACAAGUGAGGAGGAACGCAUCAGUCUUCAACAGGAAUUAAGUCGGGUGAAACAGGAGGUUGUUGAUGUAAUGAAAAAAUCCUCAGAAGAACAAAUUGCUAAGCUACAGAAGCUUCAUGAAAAGGAGCUGGCCAGAAAAGAGCAGGAACUGACCAAGAAGCUUCAGACCCGAGAAAGGGAAUUUCAGGAGCAAAUGAAAGUAGCUCUUGUAAGUGCCUAUUUUUUUUUUCUGCUAUAGGUAUACUUCUCAGAGUUACAAAGUUAUCAUCCUCUCACUGUUGCAUUCCAGUUGGAAGUCAGACUACUGGCAGUCUUGACAUUUGGGUAUAAAGAGAGGAUAGAGAGUAGGCAAGCUGUCAGAGCUUAUUAGCUUGGUAUUGUGUGAAAAUUAAAUUUACUGAUCUAACACACUUUCUUUUUUUUAUGAGAUAGAGUCUCGCUCUGUUGCCUAGGCUAGAGUGCAGUGGUGAGAUCUUGGCUUGCUGUAACCUCCAUAAUCUCCAUCUCCGUGGUUCAAGUGAUUCCCCUGCCUCAGCUUCCCAAGUAGCUGGGACUACAGGUGCACACCACCAAGUUCGGCUAAUUUUUAUUUUUUUAUUUUUGUAUUUUUAGUAGAGAUGGGGUUUCACCAUGUUGGCCAGGCUGGUCUUGAACUCCUGACCUCAAGUGAUCCACCCACAUUGGCCUCCCAAAGUGUUGGGAUUACAGGCGUAAGCCACCGCGCUUGGCCACACUUUCUUUUUAAAACAUUUAAAAAAUUUUAACAAUUUCUUUCAAUAUUUAUAUUUCUCUUUCAUUGUCGAUGUUCAGUAUAACCAACACACUUUCAUUAAGCAGUUUGUUUAUCCAUCCCUCCCACCUGGCAGUAGGCUAUGAUUAGGGACAAAAAAAGGAAAAGAUAGAUUAAUUGAAGCAGUGACUGCAUAAUUCAAGAAGAGAGUGCAUAAUUCAAGAAGAAUGUCGAAAAUCUCAUCAGACUGAGUGUACCCAGAGCUCAAGGCUGAGAAAAUUUUGGCUGACUUGCAUUUUACAGAAGAAGAAAUAAAAAUGGCCAAGUAAUUUUUAUUUUAAGUGGAAUAAUUUCAGUACUAAUUUUCAGUCCAUACGAUGGCUUAAAAAAGAGUUAAAUUAAAAAACUUCCUGAACUAACAAAAACAACCAGAAAGCAGAUUGAGAUUUUUGUUGAAAGAUUUUUUAAAAUAGCAUAAUUUGAAAGUUUAAAACAAAAAAUAUUUUUCUUCACUUAUGAAAGCCUUUUAUAUAAGUUGCCAUAAAAAAGUGUUAGUGACAAAAAUGUAAUUUGUUUUUGUAUGAAAUUAUUAUCCGUAAGAUAAUAUGUGUAACUCAAAAAUGCUUUCCGUGUAAAAGGAUAAUAAAUAGUAUUUUAGAUUUUAA
rnacentral:sRNA from 1 species